UACGGGGGGUGCGAGCGUUGUCCGGAAUCACUGGGCGUAAAGGGCGCGUAGGUGGUUUGAUAAGGGUGUGGUGAAAGUCCGGAGCUCAACUCCGGAUCUGCCGUGCCGACUGUCAAACUCGAGGGCUGUAGAGGCAGACGGAAUUCCGGGUGUAGCGGUGGAAUGCGUAGAGAUCCGGAGGAAGACCGGUGGCGAAGGCGGUCUGCUGGGCAGUUUAGCUGACACUGAGGCGCGGCAGCGUGGAGAGCAAACAGG
rnacentral:rRNA from 1 species